rnacentral:lncRNA from 1 species
GGUACACAUGAUCCUUUGUUCAGUGGUGAGGGCAGAAGCCACGUCCUUGUCCGAGAGCUGGUACUGAUCUGAUGUGGGGAGGAUGAUUAUACCUCAGAUGUGAUGAAUGCCCACCUUACAAAGGACCCCAGAGGCUGCUGCUAGGGCGACGUUCUCACCCAUCCUACAGAUGACGUCACUUGUCCAGGCCUUUGGGUUUGCAGGUUCUGUGCUCUGGUCCAAGACAGCGGAAGGCUGAGGAAGUCACUCCCCACUGACAACAAUUAGGACUGCCGAACACCAUCUCUCAGAAUGCCUCCAGCUCCUCCUCGCACUUCUGUGUCAUUUGGGAAUCUCCACUGCGGAAUGAAAAAAAGCAAAUGGACCUAAACCACAGCUCAAAGUACUUAGAGUCAGACGACGUUAUGAAACACGGCUUAAGAAUGUGGCAAUUCUAUGACAGAUGGACAGUCAGGGAAGAGAAGUCCUCCGAGGUGAUGACACUGUCUGUUGGACUUUCCUGAGACCAAUUUUAGACAGCAGGCAAGGUGACACUGCCUUCCCAGUGUCUUUUUCCCUGGACUCAUAAAUCUUCCACUUAUAUUCAUUUAUAUAGUUAUUAAUAAAUUGAUUAUGCCUCUGAUGGAACCCUGAAGCAAAGCACACAAUGUGAAAAAUGCAUUGCUAAUCUCGACUUUCGGGUUCAAAGAGGAUGUUUUAGUUGUGAUGUCAUUUCCAGACUUUCCCCUUCUGAAAGCAAAUUAUCAAGACUUGUUAGUGGUACCUACCCAUGUUCGUCUUACUAAAUCUUUCUAAGAUGGAAGUGGAUUCCAAGAUAGAUGUUAGCAUCAUGAUUAAGGGUGAGUGGCAUGUCAACACUUUACUCAGAGAUAGUGGAGAGCUAUAUAUAUUUAAACGGUGUGUCAAAUAAGAUAUGUAUUAUUUCCAUGAUCUAUAAUGCUGACACAUAUACGUUGAAGACACUGAAAUUUGGAUUUGUUUUGGGGUUUCAUUAUCCACUGUCAUACAGGUUAAAACUUUUAUACAUGCUG